CCACCCAGUUCAAUCCCAGUUCAAUCCCAGUUUCAUCCCAGUCCAUCCCAGUUCAAUCCAAAUCUCUCCCAGUUCAAACCAGUUCAAUCCCAGUUUGUCCGAAUUUGUCCCAAUCCCCUCCCAGUUCCUCCCAGUUCAAUCCCAGUUUGUCCCAUUUCAAACCAGUUCAAACCAGUCCAUCCCAGUUCCCUCCCAGUUCUGGGGCCCCUCCCCCACCAGCGCUGCCUCUGAGCCCCUCCCCCCCCUCAUUUUGAGGGUGGGGGAGGGGCGGA
rnacentral:lncRNA from 1 species